rnacentral:tRNA from 1 species
GAGGGUAUAGCUCAGUGGUAAAGCACGUGCUUAGCAUGCACAAGGUCCUGGGAUCAAUCCCCAGUACCUCCA